GAUGAACGCUAGCGGCAGGCCUAACACAUGCAAGUCGAGGGGCAUCGCGGUGCAGCAAUGCACUGGCGGCGACCGGCGUACGGGUGCGUAACGCGUAUGCAACCUGCCCCGCACCGGGGGAUAGCCCGCCGAAAGGCGGAUUAAUACCCCAUGGUCCCGGGGGCCCGCAUGGGCAUCCGGGUAAAGCCUUGGCGGUGCGGGAUGGGCAUGCGUGCCAUUAGCUGGCUGGUGGGGUAACGGCCCACCAGGGCAACGAUGGCUAGGGGGUCUGAGAGGACGGUCCCCCACACUGGUACUGAGACACGGACCAGACUCCUACGGGAGGCAGCAGUGAGGAAUAUUGGUCAAUGGGCGGAAGCCUGAACCAGCCAUGCCGCGUGCGGGAUGAAGGCCCUACGGGUUGUAAACCGCUUUUCCCCGGGAAGAAUAACCCCGAUGAGUCGGGGGAUGCCGGUACCGGGGAAUAAGGAUCGGCUAACUCCGUG
rnacentral:rRNA from 1 species